rnacentral:lncRNA from 1 species
AAUUAAUUUAUUCAAAAUUAUUAUCAGAACCAUGAACACAAUACAAAUGACACACUGGAAGUAUUUUCCAACAAUGAGAAAACGAUUAAUACCGGACGCUGAAGUACUGGAUCCUAGGACUUCGUGUCUAACCUAAAUUAUUGAUAUAUGCUAGUGAUGGAUCCUAGGGUUUUCCCUCUAUCUUAAGUUCUUGACAUAUGUUAGUGAUGGUCUAUGGAACGUAAAUAAAAUCUCAAACCAAUAUUUUUUUAUU